CAGUCGCCACGGUAAUACGGAGGGGGCUAGCGUUGUUCGGAAUUACUGGGCGUAAAGCGCACGUAGGCGGCUUGGUAAGUUAGAGGUGAAAGCCUGGAGCUCAACUCCAGAAUUGCCUUUAAGACUGCCGAGCUAGCAGGUGAGAGAGGUAAGUGGAAUUCCGAGUGUAGAGGUGAAAUUCGUAGAUAUUCGGAAGAACACCAGUGGCGAAGGCGGCUUACUGGCUCAUACUGGACGCUGAGGUGCGAAAGCGUGGGGAGCAAACAGGAUUAGAUACCCCGGAGUCCUGUCUCUUAUACAC
rnacentral:rRNA from 1 species